GCCUCGAUAGCUCAAUGGAUAGAGCAACAGACUUCUAAUCUGUAGGUUUCGGGUUCGAGUCCCGAUCGGGGUA
rnacentral:tRNA from 1 species